rnacentral:RNase_P_RNA from 1 species
CUGCAUGACCGAGUGAUGGCCGUUUGUACUCUUUGAGUAGAAAUGGAGGAAAGUCCGGACAGCAGAGCGUAGGGUGUCCAGUGAAAGCUGGAGAUUUGGGAAACCAAAGACAGUUAGAGCAACAGAGACGAGUUCAUGCGCAAGCAUGAAGUGAAACGGGCAAUCCUCCCCGCUGCAACCACCGAGUUUCACCGCAAUGUAUACGCUCGCUUUCAUGGUGAUAAGGCCGUGGGCAUUAGAUAGAUCAUCACUUCAAACAGAAUCCGGCUUACGAGUCAUGCAGUGUU